UACGUAGGGUGCAAGCGUUAAUCGGAAUUACUGGGCGUAAAGCGUGCGCAGGCGGUUGUGCAAGACAGAUGUGAAAUCCCCGGGCUUAACCUGGGAACUGCAUUUGUGACUGCACGGCUAGAGUGUGUCAGAGGGGGGUAGAAUUCCACGUGUAGCAGUGAAAUGCGUAGAUAUGUGGAGGAAUACCGAUGGCGAAGGCAGCCCCCUGGGAUAACACUGACGCUCAUGCACGAAAGCGUGGGGAGCGAACAGG
rnacentral:rRNA from 1 species